GAUGAACGCUGGCGGCGUGCCUAAUACAUGCAAGUCGAGCGAACAGACGAGGAGCUUGCUCCUCUGACGUUAGCGGCGGACGGGUGAGUAACACGUGGAUAACCUACCUAUAAGACUGGGAUAACUUCGGGAAACCGGAGCUAAUACCGGAUAAUAUAUUGAACCGCAUGGUUCAAUAGUGAAUGACGGUUUUGCUGUCACUUAUAGAUGGAUCCGCGCCGCAUUAGCUAGUUGGUAAGGUAACGGCUUACCAAGGCAACGAUGCGUAGCCGACCUGAGAGGGUGUUCGGCCACACUGGAACUGAGACACGGUCCAGACUCCUACGGGAGGCAGCAGUAGGGAAUCUUCCGCAAUGGGCGAAAGCCUGACGGAGCAACGCCGCGUGAGUGAUGAAGGUCUUCGGAUCGUAAAACUCUGUUAUUAGUGAAGAACAAAUGUGUAAGUAACUAUGCACGUCUUGACGGUACCUAAUCAGAAAGCCACGGCUAACUACGUG
rnacentral:rRNA from 1 species